UACGUAGGCAGCGAGCGUUGUUCGGAAUUACUGGGCGUAAAGAGUGUGUAGGCGGUGCUCUAAGUUCGGUGUGAAAUCUCCUGGCUCAACUGGGAGGGUGCGCCGGAAACUGGAGUGCUUGAGCGUGGGAGAGGAAAGCGGAAUUCCUGGUGUAGCGGUGAAAUGCGUAGAUAUCAGGAGGAACACCUGUGGUGUAGACGGCUUUCUGGACCACAACUGACGCUGAGGCGCGAAAGCUAGGGGAGCAAACAGG
rnacentral:rRNA from 1 species